rnacentral:lncRNA from 1 species
UGACAGCUAUGAGAAGCAAUGUUCAAGCUCUUGGUUUUGAUUUCGAAUUCAAACAGGCAAUAUGAAUUUUAGUUUCCUCCAAAUUCAGAGUUUGGGCCACAAUGAUAUUGAAAAAUCAGGAAACUGGUAUAAAAAUGUAAAACAAGCAAAAUUAAAACAUAAAAGUAAGAUGUCAUUUUAGAACAUAUUGUACAUUUGGAACCGUUGGU